rnacentral:rRNA from 1 species
GACGAACGCUGGCGGCGUGCUUAACACAUGCAAGUCGAACGGAAAGGCCCUGCUUUUGUGGGGUGCCCGAGUGGCGAACGGGUGAGUAACACGUGAGUAACCUGCCCUUGACUUUGGGAUAACUUCAGGAAACUGGGGCUAAUACCGGAUAGGAGCUCCUGCUGCAUGGUGGGGGUUGGAAAGUUUCGGCGGUUGGGGAUGGACUCGCGGCUUAUCAGCUUGUUGGUGGGGUAGUGGCUUACCAAGGCUUUGACGGGUAGCCGGCCUGAGAGGGUGACCGGCCACAUUGGGACUAGAUACGGCCCAGACUCCUACGGGAGGCAGCAGUGGGGAAUAUUGCACAAUGGGCGGAAGCCUGAUGCAGCAACGCCGCGUGCGGGAUGACGGCCUUCGGGUUGUAAACCGCUUUCGCCUGUGACGAAGCGUGAGUGACGGUAAUGGGUAAAGAAGCACCGGCUAACUACGUG